rnacentral:rRNA from 1 species
GAUGAACGCUGGUGGCGUGCUUAACACAUGCAAGUCGAACGAUGAAGCCCAGCUUGCUGGGUGGAUUAGUGGCGAACGGGUGAGUAACACGUGAGUAACCUGCCCUUAACUCUGGGAUAAGCCUGGGAAACUGGGUCUAAUACCGGAUAGGAGCGCCUACCGCAUGGUGGGUGUUGGAAAGAUUUAUCGGUUUUGGAUGGACUCGCGGCCUAUCAGCUUGUUGGUGAGGUAAUGGCUCACCAAGGCGACGACGGGUAGCCGGCCUGAGAGGGUGACCGGCCACACUGGGACUGAGACACGGCCCAGACUCCUACGGGAGGCAGCAGUGGGGAAUAUUGCACAAUGGGCGAAAGCCUGAUGCAGCGACGCCGCGUGAGGGAUGACGGCCUUCGGGUUGUAAACCUCUUUCAGUAGGGAAGAAGCGAAAGUGACGGUACCUGCAGAAGAAGCACCGGCUAACUACGUG